AUGCACGCUGGCGGCGUGCCUAAUCCCUGCAAGUCGCGCGAACAGACGAGGAGCUUGCUCCUCUGACGUUAGCGGCGGACGGGUGAGUAACACGUGGAUAACCUACCUAUAAGACUGGGAUAACUUCGGGAAACCGGAGCUAAUACCGGAUAAUAUAUUGAACCGCAUGGUUCAAUAGUGAAAGACGGUUUUGCUGUCACUUAUAGAUGGAUCCGCGCCGCAUUAGCUAGUUGGUAAGGUAACGGCUUACCAAGGCAACGAUGCGUAGCCGACCUGAGAGGGUGAUCGGCCACACUGGAACUGAGACACGGUCCAGACUCCUACGGGAGGCAGCAGUAGGGAAUCUUCCGCAAUGGGCGAAAGCCUGACGGAGCAACGCCGCGUGAGUGAUGAAGGUCUUCGGAUCGUAAAACUCUGUUAUUAGGGAAGAACAAAUGUGUAAGUAACUAUGCACGUCUUGACGGUACCUAAUCAGAAAGCCACGGCUAACUACGUG
rnacentral:rRNA from 1 species